UCUUUCUUUCUGUCUCUGUCUGCCUGUUGUGCUCUUUCUCUCCUUAUUUCUCGUUUUCUUUCAUUAUCCUUUUGUUUGUUUGUUUCUUUCUUUCUGUCUUAUCUGUCUGUCUCUGUUUUUCUCUCUCUACUUUGGAAGCUUGUGAUAUUCCCUCUUAUGAAAUGUCAGUACUACGCUAAUGAGUGAUGCUCAGAUAUCAAGGAGUGCAACUGUAUAGCUCCACUCAAAUGUCAGCAGCAGAUGACACAUUGAGGGAUGGAGCCAUCAUGUCACUCUCUCUAUUCAAGGACAACAGAAGACAGAGGACUCAUACCAAACCUUCAGUGGGAGUGCAGUUGAAUAGCUUCACUCAAGUGACAACUGCAGACUGUCUGUGAGUGCAACUGUCAAUCCACACUGAAUAACAACUGUAAACUCAAAGAGCACAGCUGUAUAUCUCAAAUAAAAUGACAACAGAGACUACCAGUGAGUGUAGCUGUUCAUCUCUACUCAAGUGAUAACAGAAGACCCAGUGAGUGCAACUGUAAGUCUCCACUCAAGUGACAACAGUGUCAGUAAGUGCAGCUGUCAGUCUCCACUCAAAUGACAACAGUGUCAGUGAGUGCAGCUGUCAGUCACCACUCAAGUGACAGCAAUAGACUGUCAGUGAGUUAAUCUGUAAGUCUGCAGUCAAAUGAGAACAGCAGCUUGUCAGUGAGUGGAACUUUCAGUCUCCACUCAAGUGACAACAACAGACCCAGUGAACGCAACUAUAACUAAUGAGGACAUUAUUGUGAAAUCGUUAAGAAAAUAAUUGUUUAAAUUUGUAAAAGUCAUCUUUUGAUGAUUUUAAAAUCUGUGAUUCAAAGGAAAUUGAAUUGUUUUUUGUUUGUUUGUCUUUGAUAUUAAAUUGUUUUGAUUA